rnacentral:rRNA from 1 species
GACGAACGCUGGCGGCGUGCCUAAUACAUGCAAGUAGGACGCAGUUGCGAACGGGUGAGUAACGCGUCGGUAUCUGCCUAUUAGAGGGGGAUAACUAUUGGAAACGAUAGCUAAUACCGCAUACUAGUAGAUGGACCUGCGUUGUAUUAGCUAGUAGGUAGGGUAAUGGCCUACCUAGGCGACGUUACAUAGCCGACCUGGGAUGGUGAUCGGCCACCAUGGGACUGGGACACGGCCCAGACUCCUUCGGGAGGCAGCAGUAGGGGAUCUUCGGCAAUGGGGGGAACCCUGACCGGGCAACGCCGCGGGAGUGAAGAAGGUUUUCGGAUCGUAAAGCUCUGUUGUUAAGGAAGCGGUACUUAACCAGAAAGGGACGGCUAACUACGUGCCAGCAGCCGCGGUAAUAC